rnacentral:rRNA from 1 species
UAAUACAGAGGGUGCAAGCGUUAAUCGGAUUUACUGGGCGUAAAGCGCGCGUAGGCGGCCAAUUAAGUCAAAUGUGAAAUCCCCGAGCUUAACUUGGGAAUUGCAUUCGAUACUGGUUGGCUAGAGUGUGGGAGAGGAUGGUAGAAUUCCAGGUGUAGCGGUGAAAUGCGUAGAGAUCUGGAGGAAUACCGAUGGCGAAGGCAGCCAUCUGGCCUAACACUGACGCUGAGGUGCGAAAGCAUGGGGAGCAAACAGGAUUAGAUACCCUGGUAGUCCAUGCCGUAAACGAUGUCUACUAGCCGUUGGGGCCUUUGAGGCUUUAGUGGCGCAGCUAACGCGAUAAGUAGACCGCCUGGGGAGUACGGUCGCAAGACUAAA